CGCUAGUAAUCGCAGAUCAGAAUGCUGCGGUGAAUACGUUCCCGGGUCUUGUACACACCGCCCGUCACACCAUGGGAGUCGGAAAUGCCCGAAGCCGGUGACCCAACCAAAAGGAGGGAGCCGUCGAAGGCAGGUCUGAUAACUGGGGUGAAGUCGUAACAAGGUAUC
rnacentral:rRNA from 1 species